UACAGAGGUCUCAAGCGUUGUUCGGAUUCAUUGGGCGUAAAGGGUGCGUAGGUGGCGUCGUAAGUGGGGUGUGAAAUCCCGGGGCUUAGCCCCGGGACUGCAUUCCAUACUGCGGUGCUUGAGGACUGGAGAGGAGACUGGAAUUUACGGUGUAGCAGUGAAAUGCGUAGAGAUCGUGAAGGAAGACCAGUGGCGAAGGCGGGUCUCUGGA
rnacentral:rRNA from 1 species